UACGUAGGGUGCGAGCGUUGUCCGGAAUUAUUGGGCGUAAAGAGCUCGUAGGCGGCUUGUCGCGUCGACUGUGAAAUCCCGCGGCUCAACUGCGGGUCUGCAGUCGAUACUGGAAGGCUUGAAUCCGGGAGAGGGAUGCGGAAUUCCAGGUGUAGCGGUGAAAUGCGUAGAUAUCUGGAGGAACACCGGUGGCGAAGGCGGCAUCCUGGACCGGUAUUGACGCUGAGGCGCGAAAGCCAGGGGAGCAAACGGG
rnacentral:rRNA from 1 species